UAUCUGAGAAACUGAAAAACAAAACUUUCUUUCCCCUAAAUCUUCAGAUUCAAUUUCCGUUUUCUUAAUCUUUUUUUUUUUUAUUGUUCUAUUGUACCUUCGAUUAGCAAAUAAAGGAAGAGAUCUUAGUAAUUGACACUUAAACGAAGAGAGCCAUGAAUCCAACUGAACUACGAAAAGAACCGAAGUAAUCGGUUCCAAUCCAAAUCAAAAAAAAUUCGUGUUCCACUGAUUGGAGAUGAUAAGGCAAGGUAGCCGAUUAUCCUUAAAAGUCUAACAAAUCAAGUGAUGAUCACAAUCACAAAGAUAAGCAACAGCUUAUUUCUCUGAAACAUUUCUGAUUUUUCUGUUUUUGAUAUUGUUUACUAACAUUGUUUUCUUUCAUAGGUGAGGAAUAAUUCUCGAAUAUUAAAGUUGUCUUUGUUGAUCUGGCAAGAGUCAUCUGUUUGACAUAAGAUGAUCACAAAAAGGAUUCAUGUCAGAAAGCAGCUUAUCUGAAACAAUGACUAACCUACAACGAAAAAUAAACAACAUCAAGCUCAGUAUUUUGACACGAAACAAUCAAGCAGUCAUUCUGUUGGAAAAUCUCCAAAAAAGAAGGAUCCAAUUGAAGGAAUUCCGAAAUCCUUGCAUUUUUUUUAUGGCAAGUCUCAUUAUUUUCUGGAUCAAUAUUAACGGGUCAUUGAGUCGGGUCAAAAAACAAAUUCCGGGUCAAAAUUUUAACAAUACCCGACCCGAUUAGGAACCCCAAAAAGUGUUGCAAAAAUGUAUAGUAGAUAUGUUAUGAAGAUCAGAAGAUCAA